rnacentral:tRNA from 1 species
CAGGAAAUAGUUUAUGAAAAUAUUAAUUUUGGAGAUUAAAGACGGGGAUUUCCCCUUUUCUGA